rnacentral:rRNA from 1 species
AGAACGAACGCUGGCGGCGUGUUUAAGACAUGCAAGUCGAACGGGAUGAAGUUGUAGCAAUACCGCUUCAUUCAGUGGCGCACGGGUGCGUAACACGUGAGUUACAUGCCCUGCAGUGGGGAAUAGCCCGCCGAAAGGCGGAUUAAUACCCCAUGGUCCCGCAAGGGUAAAGGUGGCCGCAAGGCUGCCGCUGCAGGAUUGGCUCGCGGCCUAUCAGCUUGUUGGUGAGGUAACGGCUCACCAAGGCGACGACGGGUACCUGGUCUGAGAGGAUGAUCAGGCACACUGGAACUGAGACACGGUCCAGACACCUACGGGUGGCAGCAGUCGAGAAUAAUUCACAAUGGGGGAAACCCUGAAUGGUAGCGAACGCCGCGGUAGGAGGAGUAGGUAAGGUCGUUACGGAGUUAGUAAACGUCCCUAGUCGAGUCCGGGAAGUAAGACCGUGGGCGUAGAAGUACGCGCACGAGGUUGAAUAGGUACCCGAAGAAGGAAGGACGGACUAACGUCGU